GAAGGGAAGUACAGAGGUUUGGUCGACGUCCUGAGAACGCUGCUCCGAGAAGAAGGGCCUAAAGCUCUCUACAAGGGAUUCAAUGCAGUCUUUCUCCGAGCCUUCCCUGCCAACGCGGCCUGUUUUUUGGGGUUUGAGGUGGCGUUAAAGGGACUGAACACACUCGCGCCCAGCUGGUGAAAUAACUCAUAACACAUAUAAGUGUUAUGAUGAGUCUGUGACCCCUCAGGACCAGUCAGGACCAGGCUGGAUCAGUCUGGACCAGUCAGGACCAGUCAGGACCAGCCUGAACCAGUCAGGACCAGGCUGGAUCAGCCUGAACCAGCCUGAACCAGUCAGGACCGGUCAGGACCAGUUUCUCAUGGAAACCAUGAGACACAUUUUAGGACACUGAAAUGUGAUGAAUUGUUGUAUUCUUAAAUGUUAUUUUAUAUUUAUAUUUAUAUUAAAAAUGAAUUCUCCUUUGUAAUGAAGACUUCACUGUUUGUGAGUAAUGUUACAACGUAAAUGCACACUUAUGAAUGUAUAAUUUUGAGAUAUUGCGUAAUUAUAAAUAUAUGUUUUUUUGGGUGGAGGAGAUCUGAGCCUUUUCUCACUUUUACUUGUGAUGUUUGUGUCGUAUAAUGAAUCUAGUACCAUUCAGUUCAGAAUGACUUUAAUAUGUGUUUAAACUACGAGCUAUGCCAAAAAAAAUCUGAAAUAAUUUGUUCUGUGUGUUUGGCCUCUUUUAUAAAGCUUCUGAUUAAAGGCUUUCAAUAAAGUUUUGAAUUUGCCAUUUAAAUAGCGUGAGUGUCCACUGGAUUUACCAAGUGUCAUGAGGACUUUGUCGUAAUGUGUUUGGUAAUUUGCACCAUUAAAGCACGAUAGAAAGAAA